GGUCUGGCACUUCGAGAAAGCUCCACCGAGCUCUCUGAUCGGACACCGGCCGCGCCCGCCGCCCAAACCAACCCCACCGACCGGAAUUACUCCGUUGUGAUCCACUCCGCUCCGACCACCCCCACCUGCCUAUAUAAAGGCCACCCCGGGCCUCGUUUCGGAUUCACCCCACCUCCACCCAUGCACAAUCACGCUUUAGAGGGAUCUAACGGCCCCGGGGAGGUUUUCUUCCACAACUCCGGCCGCCCGAUCCGCCUCUGCUUCUGAGAAGAAGCCGACGUAGUCCGUCCACCCCCACCUCCCAGAAUUCACCAGUAGCCUCCUAAUCGACUCCCUCGUCUGUCUCGCACGUCAAUUUGACGAUUUGAGGUUCCUCCGACGAGAUCCAACAUCACCCGAAGCCGCCGCCCGCCGUAGUCGACAUCGCCGGCACUAUGAUGCUCGCCAACAAGCAAAUCAACCACCCACCGGCCACCGACGCGGAAGAACACCCUGAGGACGUCUGCACCAUCGCCAUCCCUUGCUACACCGUGACCGCCGCCAGUAAAUGGAGGGAAGAUAAAUUUGGCAAAGUAUUGAAGUGCACCCAAUCUUUCUGCAUGCUCAAGGCAAGCAUCUUGAGCACAUGAUAUGAUCAUGGUUCAGAGAGGAGCACUACGACGACACCCCGCAACCUAGGAUUCGAGGAUAGCAGCCACGCGAGAUAGGAAUUAUCUGGCUCAGUUGUUCCCGUGGGAA